AAAACGCAAACAAUUGCACAAGGGACACACAAUAUGUUGACGCAGUAAAAAACCUCAAGAUGAGGAAAACAACUGCUGGCACUAUGCUGGAGAACAAAUCACUAUGAGAAAGAAUACAAAAAGGUCUUACAAGUCUCAACUCACAAGACUAACGCUUACAAGGCAGACUUGCCUACUUGCCUUUGCUACUCAACCCAACUAGCGAUCUUGUCUUCCUUCGUCAACAAGAGAUGGCACAACUCUGGUCUCGGCUGCUCACACCUCAAGGCACGAUUGCUGAUCACCAACAUGCAUAAUGCUCAUGAACUCACACAUAUAUGAAAAGAUAAUGAUUUAAUCACUCAUGGAGGCUAACAAGGGAUAGCCACAUGAGUUUUCAAUAUAAACUCUCAAAAAAC
rnacentral:lncRNA from 1 species